GCGGAGCGACCUUUCUGAAGUCCUGGACAACCUUAGCUUCCAGCACCUCCCCAUGCACCUGAGCCUCCUUCACCCCUCCCCCCUUGAGUGUGCUAGAACCCAUUGAUAAAACUCUGCUUGUUUGCUUCCCAGGAACUGUUUGUGGAGACCAUUGCAAAAGAUGCCUACUGCUGUGCUCAACAAGGAAAGAGGAAAACCCUCCAGAGGAGAGAUUUAGAUAAUGCAAUAGAAGCUGUGGAUGAAUUUGCUUUUCUGGAAGGUACUUUGGAUUGAUGGCUGAGCUGGAUAGUUUUGUGAGCCUUCACCUGUAUCCUUCAGUUCACCCCUCUUCACACGCCUCAGCUUUGAAGAAGAGUUUUUGCACUCAUAUACACUCUUCCUGUUCUACCUUCACUUAAGCUGGGAUAAGCAGUGAUCUCAUCUCUUAGCUUUUCACUACAAGGUCUUCCACUACUUCUGUCUGUCUUCCACUUAAGGCCUGGGUGCAGCAGCUGCUGCUUGGGGCAGAGAUGAAGAAAGUGUUCUGUAUAGGUAGCUUAAUGAAUGACGAGGACCAGAAUAAAGGUGUUUGAUCAACUUCA